AUGAAUAAAAAAAGAAAAGAAAAGAACCUUGCCUUAGGAAAGAGAAAACUUUUACAACCAAAGGCAUUACAGAAGGUUUGCAUUUUACUUGGUACAAAUAUAUCGUUGAAGAGUUCACUUACACAUCCAAGCUAUUAUAUACAACUGGGAAUGGAUGCUCAAUGCUGUGUACAAGAUUCUUUUCUAAAGCGUGCUUUGUAUUAACUACUGGUGAGUAAUAGGAGGGGAUGAUCAUAUCAGUAUAUAUUCAUCUCCUGUGGCUAUUCUGCUGCAGUUAAUUCUUAAAUACAGUAGGUUAUAAUAGGGUGACAUUUCUAUAGUGCCUUUCAUAAGAGCAAUCUAAAGCAUGUCAUACAAUGUUUGACUUUGAACUAUUCAGUUUCUUAGUGACACAAAUCUCAGGGUAAAUUUAUGCCUUCAUGGUUUGUUUCCUUAAAAAAUAUGAGUCAUUUUAUUUGUUAUAGUUUGAAAUUUAUCAUAGAUUCACCAUAGAUUAUCAAGUUAUCCAUGCCAUAAUAAUCUGUAACUGUCCUUAUCUGUGUGUUAGAUGUGCAGGGUUAUGAUGUGCGUGGACUUUUUACGAUCUACUUAUCUCUUCUGGUCAUAUAGAUUUAUGUGUAUCUCUUUUCUGACUAAAUCUGAAAUCAGAGCUUGCAUUCUGAAGAAAUAAAACAUAUCUAUGUAAAAUCCAAGUACUAUUCCCUGACAUCUAAAAGUUAGAGAAAAAUGAUUAUAAUACCCUCCACCAAAAUAAAGAGGUACUCAAUUUCAAUUGCCUUUUUUAGAAAAUAAAAUGUUAAAUGUGUGAAAUGUAUAAUGUACCCUGAGAUUAAGCUAAGUAUCCCCAGAAUGAUUUUUAGAGUUACAAUAAAUAGACUAUUUCAAGGGACAGUGUUUGAUUAUCUAAAAUUUACAUAUUUGCAACAGUUGUUUCUGAGUGGAAAGAAUUUAUUUACUUACCCAAAGCAAAUAGCUUUUCUAUGAAAUGUGAAAUAGGUUAUACUGUUUAUACUGUGUUUAGUCAUUACAUUUAAUUCCUCAAAAUGAGUACCAGACCUCUGUACUGUGUAAUGAAUAUCCUCACAGUUUGUAAAACAAUGUUAGUAAUAAUAAUAAAGAAUUGAUCAAUUUAACAUUCUAAUCUGGACUUCAAUUUGAGGUUGUUGUUCUAUCCAAAAGCACUUUGUAAAUUCUAGAGAACUACACAAAUGUGAGAUCAUUGCUAUAUUUUUCAUCUCCUCUACUAUAUUUUACCUGUUUCUUUUACUUGUUUUGGACACCAGUAAUGUUAAAACUCAUCUCUAAUAGAAAAAGCAGAAAAAUUGAAAAGAUUACAAAUGGUAAAAUUAUGAUUAAACAUAAAAUUAUUAUGAAAAAUGGCAGACUCCUACAAUAGUCUGAGUUUUGUUUUUUGUAUUGGUAAGAAUUACACAUUUUUUUGUUUUGUUUUAUUUUGUUUUGGAUGCCUUAGCUACAGAUAGAUGGCAUCUAACCUCAAGGUAAGAUUUUACUGCAGGAAGGCAUUUUUACCUCAUUACAGUUUGUCAGUAGAGAAAAUAUUUGUGGCAUAUUGAUGUUCUACUGGUUAGAAAAUAUGUUUCCCCAAGCUCAUGAUUUUUAUUCUGUGUUCUUGUAACUACUUAGAGCAACUUUGGGACAUUAAGACAUCAGUAACAAACACAAAUAUGUGAUUACUGGCUUCAAAGUACGUGUAACAACUACCCUUUUUGAAUAUCUUUAUGUCUUCUGUUAAUGUUCAGAGAUGUUCAAAAGGUACAUGACAUUUUACACUUGUACAAUAAGAAUGUUUGGAAGAAAUAAUUGUGAAUGAAAAAAUUAUUUAAAAGAGAAUUUUA
rnacentral:lncRNA from 1 species